rfam:Myotis davidii contig91398, whole genome shotgun sequence.
GGCAGUUCUCGGGUGAUGCACCCUGGAAUCGGGCUCCCUCCUCUCUGGUUCCAGGGUGCGUCACUCAAGAACCGCC